UACAGCCAUAUCACUUUGAAAGACUGGUUCUCAUAUGAUAACUGAUGUUAAGCAACGUCCAGCAUGGUCAGUAACUAGAUGGGUGACCACUUGGGAGUACCAGGUGCUGUAAG